CCUGGUUCAAAAUGCUGAGUCCACAACAGAAGUGGAAAAUGGAUGGGACAGUGACAUGUCAUCCAUUUUGGUUCUUGUCCACCUUUUGCCACCGUCACCUCAUGGCCACAAGUGACCAGGAAAGCUCUCAGCCAAACAAGCCAGUGACCAUCUUGUGAAGUUCAUCAAGACUGGGACCAGUGUCCAAGGGCAUCUGGCCAGUAUCAUGGAACAUCUUCAACCCUAUCUGCUUGCUGUGGGGACCAAGAGGAGUGUGAUUCACACAUAUUUCAUUGUGAUUGACAAACAUGCAAUGCCAUAAGAAUACGCACCUUCAGCAGACCUGGGAUCCAGUCAUCUCUACACCCAGUCCCCUGCCUACCUCCAACCCGGUUUCCCUCGCCAUCUUCACUGCCAGUCUCCAACCCACUACACCCCAGAUUUC